rfam:Dethiosulfovibrio salsuginis strain TSBA 82 genome assembly, contig: Ga0105850_107
CGUAUACUCGACAUGCCGUCGUGUAGUACGAAUGGGGCGACAGGACGUCGCCCCAAGCCGAGGGGGCACAGGACGUGCCCUCCGAGGCGGUUCGUACGGAACAGGCAGGUCGAGUAUACGC